AUGUGCAAAUUUAGUCCUAGCCAAUCAGACGACGACAAGUGGAGCCCUAGUCAGCAGAACCGGUCAGCGCAGCAUAUUUUGCAAUUACCCCCCAGCCUUAGCAGUAAUCAACCCGUACUACACAACACUUUUCAUUUCUCCCUUGCCUUGCCUUACCUUCCAAGCCCUCCGCCGAGCCCCUCGGCGCCGCAGUCCUCGCCCAGGGCACGGCUGGCGGCGCGCACCUGCGAGGCGAUGGCGUCGCGGAGGCAGCGGAACUGCCGCGAGAUCUCGGGCGCUGGCGCUCCGCCCUUGGCCCCGAUGGUGUCUUCCUCCCUGCCGCCGCCGCCGGAAAGGCCUUCCGAAUCCUCCUCCUUCUUGACCGAUGCAACGCUCUUCGCCUUGGCGUCCACGUCCUUGCUCACACUCACCGCCUCGUCGAGCAGCUCCUGCGCCGCCCUGAGGUAUUUGGAGUUCAUCACCACCUGCCCCUGCGACGCCGCGGUCGUGGCCCCAAGGUGGUACCUCCCUUCAUCGCCGGUGAUGGAGGCCACCGUACGUGACCGGCGGCGUCUCACGGGACGACAGGCUGAGCACGGCAGCCAGCCCCACACUCCCAUCGCACACCCCACCCCACUGGCGCGGUGCGUUGCCUCGCUGCACGGCCGGUGGGUGACUGGUGGGCGUGCCGGACUGGCAGGGAGACCGGCCGUGCUCCUCCACCACACCUGCCAUUGCCAUGCUCCCUGUCCCGCUGUGCCGUGCGCUCCCUGUUCCUCCCCAAAAGUUAUUUUCCUUCAAAGAAAAAUAAGGGACCUUGCUUGCAGGGUUGCCUUGACUAGUUGCUCCUCCAAGGCUCCAAGGGCCAGCCCAAGCUUUGGUUCAUCUCAAAAUCACAGUUGCAGCUACUAUUUGCAAAAGCAGGUAGCAUGGCAAUGA
rnacentral:rRNA from 1 species